GCAGAGGGAAAGAGACUGAGGAGAGAGAGAGAGAGACUGAGGAGAGAGAGAGAGAGAGACUGAGGAGAGAGAGAGAGACUGAGGAGAGAGAGAGACUGAGGAGAGAGAGAGAGACUGCAGAGAGAGAGAGAGAGAGAGAGACUGAGGAGAGAGAGAGAGACUGAGGAGAGAGAGAGAGACUGAGGAGAGAGCGAGACUGAGGAGAGAGAGAGACUGCAGAGAGAGAGAGAGAGACUACGGAGAGAGAGAGAGACUACGGAGAGAGAGAGAAAGACAGGAGAGAGAAAGACAGGAGAGAGAAAGACAGGAGAGAGAAAGACAGGAGAGAGAAAGACUGAGGAGAGAGAGAGACUGAGGAGAGAGAGAGAGAGAGACUGAGGAGAGAGAGAGAGAGAGACUGAGGAGAGAGAGAGAGAGACUGAGGAGAGAGAGAGACUGAGGAGAGAGAGAGAGAGACUGAGGAGAGAG
rnacentral:lncRNA from 1 species